GUGGGGUUGUGGCUCAGCGGUAGAGCACUUUCCUAGCACGUGGGAGUCACUGGGUUCGAUUCUCAGCACCACA
rnacentral:tRNA from 1 species